rnacentral:lncRNA from 1 species
GGGCUGCUUUUCAUUAAAAGGAAAACCUUACCAAGGACUUCCAUACCCUCACUAUCUGCCUAAGUAAUUGCAUCUUCACUCCUGUAUCACAGCUUUGUGAGCCACGUCAGAAUAAAUUCUGACAAGACCUGGGUCUGAGGACGCUGCUUAGUGUAUCUCUCCAGGUUUUGACAGCCCAGCCCUUUGCCUGCAUGAAAAUAAACGGGAUGUGCGCACUCUGCUUUAACUUCUUCCAAGUGCCCCAUAAACUGGCCACAGCACAGGGCGUGAGCGUGAAGGAAACUCACCACCUCAGUCACUUCCUCCACCACUUCAUAUCUGCUAGGAGCCUGACUCGCCAAGUCCACCAAGUCUUCUGAAGAGGAUUCCAUAGAAAGUGGGCACAUCUACCUUCCCUGUUAACUUGAAUAAACUGUUCCAUCUGCAUCAGAUAUGCUGGGUGAAUCUACCAACUGCUGGCUGCUUGAAACCUUUCAAGAACAUCUAAAUUUGAUGAACUCAACCUCCUAUCAACUGGAACUGUUACUCUGUCACUUGGUGCAUGACUACAAAGAUAGUUCUGACUUCAUGUUUAUAAUAAUGAUCCCCAAUGCUGCAAGAUCCUGAAGUGCCUUUGAGUCAUCACCAAUAACUUACUCAUCAGAAUUGCUUUCGUGUUGAGUAGAUUUUGCUGAUAUCUGAUUGUUCAGCAAGUACAAACUUAAUUAAGCUUCUAUUUUAGUACUAGAUACAUGCUCUAAGAUCAAGACAGAAUUCCCUAUAAACAGAAUAUUUGCUAGAUCAUAUCCCAUUAUUUGAGCAAACUGGAUCCAGAAUAUUUUCUUGUUUGUUUGUAAAGUAGUUCAUGUGUACAUUUGUGUGUGUGUUUGUAAAUCCUUCCUUUCUUGGUGAA